rnacentral:rRNA from 1 species
ACGUAGGGUGCGAGCGUUGUCCGGAAUUAUUGGGCGUAAAGGGCUCGUAGGCGGUUUGUCGCGUCUGCUGUGAAAGCCCGGGGCUCAACCCCGGGUCUGCAGUGGAUACGGGCAGGCUAGAGUCCGGCAGGGGAGACUGGAAUUCCUGGUGUAGCGGUGGAAUGCGCAGAUAUCAGGAGGAACACCGGUGCGAAGGCGGGUCUCUGGGCCGGUACUGACGCUGAGGAGCGAAAGCGUGGGGAGCGAACAGGA